UCCGUCCUUAGACAGGACGAAGUUCACCAGGCCCUGGGACUCACCUGGAGACACAGGGAGAGGACAGCGUUAGGUCACCUGCUCUGCUCUCCGAUUGGCCGGCAGGUCAGACCAGCCCAGUGAGACUUCCUGAGCAACAACCAGAGAGUUAUUUAAAUCAUCAUCAUCACCUUCAAAAACAAAGGAAAACGUGACGAGAAUUGAGUUUUACACCCCAAACAGCUGGCUACCAUGACAACAAACACAGAGAUCGUGGUUCUAACCCACUGGACCGGUCCGUUAGCUGAUUCAACGAUCCACUUUUUGACUCCUGAUCCAGUCGGAGCAACUCAGAGGCGCCCCCUGCUGUCCAAUGGGUGCUGGAGUUAGUCACCAGCUGCCUUUAAGGAUAAGCAGCUAAAGACGAUGGAUGGGUCCUCUGGUGCUGACCGUCUGCUUGGACUGGACCGACAGAACCAAAGAACCCGGUGGGUCCGGUUCCUAUAGCAGCAUCAGGCUCGUUUCCCUCAUCAUUUAACUGAAGGAAGAAAACCUGAGCUCCAUCUUCUGAACAUCUAGACGAUCUGGUCUGAAACAUUUCCACUGGAGUUUAACUUUCAGGUUUUAAAUCUUUUUAAGAAUCAUAACAGGCUUGAUGGAGCCUCUGAGAGACGAGACAGAAAACGAUGAAGGGCAGGAAACCGCCGCCAUGAAAGAAGAGCUCUGAGCUUCCUGCUGCGUAAAUAAAGAUGUUUUUUAUA